rnacentral:rRNA from 1 species
CGGGAAACUGGGGAUAAUUCCGGAUAACGCACAUAUGCUGGAAUGCUUUAUGCGUAAAAUGGAUUCGUCUGCCCAAGGAUGGGUCUGCGGCCUAUCAGGUAGUAGUGGGUGUAAUGUACCUACUAGCCAACAACGGGUACGGGUUGUGAGAGCAAGAGCCCGGAGAUGGAUUCUGAGACAUGAAUCCAGGCCCUACGGGGCGCAGCAGGCGCGAAAACUUUACAAUGCGGGAAACCGUGAUAAGGGGACACCGAGUGCCAGCGUCAUACGCUGGCUGUCCAGGUGUGUAAAAUACACCUGUUAGCAAGGGCCGGGCAAGACCGGUGCCAGCCGCCGCGGUAACACCGGCGGCCCGAGUGGUGAUCGUGAUUAUUGGGUCUAAAGGGUCCGUAGCCGGUUUGGUCAGUCCUCCGGGAAAUCUGAUAGCUCAACUAUUAGGCUUUCGGGGGAUACUGCCAGGCUUGGAACCGGGAGAGGUAAGAGGUACUACAGGGGUAGGAGUGAAAUCUUGUAAUCCCUGUGGGACCACCUGUGGCGAAGGCGUCUUACCAGAACGGGUUCGACGGUGAGGGACGAAAGCUGGGGGCACGAACCGGAUUAGAUACCCGGGUAGUCCCAGCCGUAAACGAUGCUCGCUAGGUGUCAGGCAUGGCGCGACCGUGUCUGGUUCCGCCGGGCAGCCGUGUAGAGAUCCACAUGAGUAGGACGACCGCA